rnacentral:ncRNA from 1 species
UUAAAAGCUUUGAUGAGGAAGAGUAGUCACAAUCUUGAAGUAUAGAGAGGGAUUGGCGGUGGAAAUAUCCCGGGAUGGAUAUGACGAAGGUAGCCUUGGAGCUUUGAACUGAACGCUUUUGCUAGUAGGUUUUAACGGGAGUUCCCGCUGUUAAAAGGGAAGUAGUAUCGGCAGACUUAUGCCCGUACUAUAUUAAAGAGUGUACUUAUGUACAAAAUUAGGUGGUACCGCGAAUAUAACCUUUCGUCCUAUUG